rnacentral:pre_miRNA from 1 species
AAAAAUUGUACUUCGUACUGUUUAUAUUCAAUAUUUGACCGUAUAUCUUAUCUAAAAAGUUUUUAAGAUUUAUAUUUUUAUUUUAUUAGAUGUUAAAAUAUAAAUAGUACUUAAUAUGAGAUUAUUUUUUAUUUUUUCAUAAUUAUUUUAAAUAAGACGAACGACCAAACGUUAGACACGAAAAUUCACAGACACGGUUAAA